GACGAACGCUGGCGGCGUGCCUAAUACAUGCCAGUAGAACGCUGAAGGAGGAGCUUGCUCUUCUGGAUGAGUUGCGAACGGGUGAGUAACGCGUAGGUAACCUGCCUGGUAGCGGGGGAUAACUAUUGGAAACGAUAGCUAAUACCGCAUAACAGUAGAUGUUGCAUGACAUUUACUUAAAAGGUGCAAUUGCAUCACUACCAGAUGGACCUGCGUUGUAUUAGCUAGUUGGUGGGGUAACGGCUCACCAAGGCGACGAUACAUAGCCGACCUGAGAGGGUGAUCGGCCACACUGGGACUGAGACACGGCCCAGACGCCUACGGGAGGCAGCAGUAGGGAAUCUUCGGCAAUGGACGGAAGUCUGACCGAGCAACGCCGCGUGAGUGAAGAAGGUUUUCGGAUCGUAAAGCUCUGUUGUAAGAGAAGAACGAGUGUGAGAGUGGAAAGUUCACACUGUGACGGUAUCUUACCAGAAAGGGACGGCUAACUACGUG
rnacentral:rRNA from 1 species